CUCUAAAAAAUGAUUCAUGGGGUUAGUAAGUAAAGCUUAAAAUCAAUAGCUUUUUCUGCAUAAAAAAUUAAGUUUGUUGCAUGUACACAUUGUAAUCAGUUGAUAACUUAAUUUAAUGAGUUGGUCGAAAUGAAAAUAAAGAAAACAGUCUUAGCUCAGUAAUAUAUCGAUUUUGAACAGACAUUUCUGUGUUAACUUAACAUGAAAGUGUAUUCAGUUAAUACAACUUAAAAAUCUCGUAAGCGUCCUUUAAAAGCUGAGUACAAGGCUGACUUGCCCAGACAUGUUGUGCUCUCAGACCACUGAUCGAAAGAAACGGAGGCAAAGAGAGAAAGCGGAGAAGCGCCAUUUUGGACGGAACGUUAUCAAACGUUAAAGCUUUGUGGAGCCGGAAACACACUCCUCAUACACUUGAUGACUUCAAGCCUGAGCUUUUGCAGAGGUAUAUCAAUCCUCUAAAUGCAGGGGAUGAUCCUGUGGAUGAAGACGAUACUGAAGGUGCAGUGAGUGAAGACCCUGAAGGACGAUUCUGUGGAGAGAAGGCGAGAGGUCGCUAUCCGUGGCUUAGUGGUGUAUCUCAGGGAAAAGGAGGAGGAUCUCUUCAAAGAGCAGGAUGGUGGCGGGGAUAUUACCAAUGAAGUGAUGAAGAUUGUAACCAGAGGUGCCACAACGUCUGAUCCAGCCAGCGCAAGGAUCAUACUUGAAGGAACAGAAGUCCUAGCAGACCUGGAUGUACCCAGAGCCUGUGCCUUGCUAAUGGGGCUGAUAUAUGCACUCAACCUCAGCUACCCAAAAGAACUGAAAAACACUUUUGAAGUGUUUCAAAAGAUAUUCCUCGAGCUGGAUGAUCUGAAAGCCAGUCCUAAGGUAAUGUCACUAAAAAGUAAACUGUUGUACUAAAAAAUGUGAAGAGUGAGGCUAUCCUCAAAUUAAACGGGAAAUGUUCCACUGUUGUUUGCAAUGUGUUGUGUUACAUACUGUACAGUAGGCAGUAGGUGUAAAGUUGAGCGUUGAGCAUUAAGUACACCUAGUUCAAAAUAAUGCACUUUAAAAGGAUAGCUCGGGUCUUUUGAAGUGAGGCUGUAUGAGGUACAUAUGUAUAGUGAGUGUAUUACACACAGUAGAUGGCAGUCAGUAAGCUCCACCUACGGAGAAGCAGACGGGGCCACCGGCACGCAAGAUGAGCCUCCAUCCUAAUAAAACUGAUGUCAGUUUAAAUGUACAUUAUAUCAAGAAUAUGUUUACUGCUUUAUUUUGCUAUCAGACAGCCUUUUCUGUGAGGAAAGAGAAGUUCUACUGCUUGUUGUUUCAAUCGCUCUGGCCCACCAGCGUCCAUGGACAAAAACAGCAAUUUUACCUGACAGCACACAGGAGUUGCUGGUCUCCUGCUGCCUUGAUCAGUAAGUGUAAUUGUGUUAUUUGGUGACUUUGGUGUUAGUUCGGGUUAGUUCAGAUUUACCAAAGUCACACAAACAAACCGAGCCUAUCGUGCGUGUCGGUGGCAGGAAUGUGCUGACUGCUGUCUACUGUGUGUAAUACACUCACAAUGUACUUCAUACUUAAAAAAACCUAAACUAUCACUUUAACACAAACAAACUUGAAUCAGAGCAUGACUGUCAAAAUGUUCAGUCUUUUUGAGACAGAUUUACAGGGGUGUUUUAUGUCAUUUAUUUUAUGGAGGCAACAAUUUUUUCUGCUAUUGAAAUGUCAAUGACUCUGGAAUGGUGGACUGGUGUUCUAAUAAACAGUUUGAUCAUAAAACUGGAAUUUCAAUGUGUAAUUUAUUGUAUAAUUGUAAGUUAUAAGUUAUUGUAAGUUAUUAGUACUCAAAAAAAUUAAGGUAACAAUUUGCAUGGAUAUUUCUGAGUAGAAUAAAAGUAAAAAAAUAAGUUUUAAUAACUAAAUGGAGUAAUUUUUAAACAAUUAAAAAUAAGUUGGUUCAACUUAAUUAAGCUUGUAGAGGACAAAGCAAAUCAUGUUGUUUGUACGUAAGGAAUAGAGUUUGCCUAACUAGAGAACUCUUGUGGCAUUUACGCUAUAGUGGCUAAGCUGAAGUAACUUAAAAAGAUCCAUGCAAAUUGUUACCUUAAUUUUUUUACGUUAAGCCAACAAAACAUUUUUUAGAG